UUUGUGAUGUUGAACAGAAGAAGUACUCCACCAACUCUUUGCAAGAAAAGCUUAUUAUGCUGAUGCUAUUGGUCCUUGCUAUGGAAUUUCCAAAUAUUGUGAUGUUUUUUGGAUAUGUUGCUCAUUUUAGCUUUUUGGAAGAUCAGCAGCAGGAGUUGCCAAUUCACUCAAGGACG